rnacentral:rRNA from 1 species
CACGUAGGGCGCAAGCGUUGUCCGGAAUUAUUGGGCGUAAAGAGCUCGUAGGUGGUUUGUUACGUCCGCUGUGAAAUCCUAGGGCUUAACCCUGGGCUUGCAGUGGAUACGGGCAGACUAGAGUGCGGUAGGGGAGACUGGAAUUCCUGGUGUAGCGGUGAAAUGCGCAGAUAUCAGGAGGAACACCGGUGGCGAAGGCGGCCUUCUGGACGACAACUGACGCUGAGACGCGAAAGCGUGGGGAGCAAACAGG